rnacentral:rRNA from 1 species
AUUGAACGCUGGCGGCAUGCCUUACACAUGCAAGUCGAACGGCAGCGCGGACUUCGGUCUGGCGGCGAGUGGCGAACGGGUGAGUAAUACAUCGGAACGUACCCUGUUGUGGGGGAUAACUAGUCGAAAGAUUAGCUAAUACCGCAUACGACCUGAGGGUGAAAGUGGGGGACCGCAAGGCCUCACGCAGCAGGAGCGGCCGAUGUCUGAUUAGCUAGUUGGUGGGGUAAAGGCCCACCAAGGCGACGAUCAGUAGCUGGUCUGAGAGGACGAUCAGCCACACUGGGACUGAGACACGGCCCAGACUCCUACGGGAGGCAGCAGUGGGGAAUUUUGGACAAUGGGGGCAACCCUGAUCCAGCAAUGCCGCGUGUGUGAAGAAGGCCUUCGGGUUGUAAAGCACUUUUGUCCGGAAAGAAAUCGCGCUGGUUAAUACCUGGCGUGGAUGACGGUACCGGAAGAAUAAGCACCGGCUAACUACGUGCCAGCCGCCGCCGUAAUAC